rnacentral:rRNA from 1 species
AUUGAACGCUGGCGGCAGGCCUAACACAUGCAAGUCGAGCGCGCGGCGGACGGGUGAGUAAUGCCUGGGACUUGCCAAGUCGAGGGGGAUCACAGUUGGAAACGACUGCUAAUACCGCAUUCUAUUGGAUCGCCCAGGUGGGAUUAGCUAGUUGGUGAGGUAAAGGCUCACCAAGGCGACGAUCCCUAGCUGGUCUGAGAGGAUGAUCAGCCACACUGGAAACGAGAAACGGUCCAGAAUCCGACGGGAGGCAGCAGUGGGGAAUAUUGCACAAUGGGGGCAAGCCUGAUGCAGCCAUGCCGCGUGUGUGAAGAAGGCCUUCGGGUUGUAAAGCACUUUCAGCGGGGAGGCGUUACCCGCAGAAGAAGCACCGGCUAACUCCGUGCCAGCAGCCGCGGUAAUUC